GACCUUGAAAUACCACCCUUUAAUGUUUGAUGUUCUAACGUUGACCCGUAAUCCGGGUUGCGGACAGUGUCUGGUGGGUAGUUUGACUGGGGCGGUCUCCUCCUAAAGAGUAACGGAGGAGCACGAAGGUUGGCUAAUCCUGGUCGGACAUCAGGAGGUUAGUGCAAUGGCAUAAGCCAGCUUGACUGCGAGCGUGACGGCGCGAGCAGGUGCGAAAGCAGGUCAUAGUGAUCCGGUGGUUCUGAAUGGAAGGGCCAUCGCUCAACGGAUAAAAGGUACUCCGGGGAUAACAGGCUGAUACCGCCCAAGAGUUCAUAUCGACGGCGGUGUUUGGCACCUCGAUGUCGGCUCAUCACAUCCUGGGGCUGAAGUAGGUCCCAAGGGUAUGGCUGUUCGCCAUUUAAAGUGGUACGCGAGCUGGGUUUAGAACGUCGUGAGACAGUUCGGUCCCUAUCUGCCGUGGGCGCUGGAGAACUGAGGGGGGCUGCUCCUAGUACGAGAGGACCGGAGUGGACGCAUCACUGGUGUUCGGGUUGUCAUGCCAAUGGCACUGCCCGGUAGCUAAAUGCGGAAGAGAUAAGUGCUGAAAGCAUCUAAGCACGAAACUUGCCCCGAGAUGAGUUCUCCCUGACUCCUUGAGAGUCCUGAAGGAACGUUGAAGACGACGACGUUGAUAGGCCGGGUGUGUAAGCGCAGCGAUGCGUUGAGCUAACCGGUACUAAUGAACCGUGAGGCUUAACCUUACAACGCCGAAGGUGUUU
rnacentral:rRNA from 1 species